UACGGAGGGUGCAAGCGUUAUCCGGAUUCACUGGGUUUAAAGGGUGCGUAGGUGGGUUGAUAAGUCAGUGGUGAAAUCCCCGAGCUUAACUUGGGAACUGCCAUUGAUACUAUUGAUCUUGAAUACCGUGGAGGUCAGCGGAAUAUGUCAUGUAGCGGUGAAAUGCGUAGAUAUCGUUUGGAACGCCGAUGGUGAAAACAGGUCGCUGGGGUUGUGCUGACGCUGAGACACGAAAGCCAGGGGAGCGAACGGG
rnacentral:rRNA from 1 species